rnacentral:ncRNA from 1 species
CCCUAUCGAUAACGCCAUGAGCAAAAAGCCGAAGAUUGUGCAGAUUGAAGCGAGUAACAAAGCAUUCAAGACCACCGGCUGCCAGCCCUGGCAGCAAACGAGUAACACCACCGUAUCAACGGAUCUCCCCGGGCCGAUCGCAGGAAUCCAACUGGAAAGCAAUCUCGGGAUCCUCAAUGGGCUGCUCGCCUCAAACGGCCAGCAAGUG